GAAAGAGGAACAAAAGAAAAAACACGGUAAGCAUUUCACAAAUCCUACAACAACAUUCAAACACCUACAUCAACCUUCCAAAAUCUUUCAAUUAAGCUAAGUACUACUCCACAAACAUUUUAGCUGUCUUUCAACACCUAGCAAGCAGUCACAAAACAAGCAAAAUUAGACGACAUUCUCCACCCAGACCAAGCAAAAAACACAUCAUGCUUGAAAGAAAAGCAAAAACUAAUAAGAGAGGUAAAAAGUCUGCAAACACUACAACUCAUUCUAUACAACUUAGUGAGCAGUACUCCGAGAUUCACAAAAACACUUCAAAUCUAAGAUUAUUGAGAUAUCAUCCAUGUAAUAAGUCAUUUCUUAUUGUGAACACGCAUGAAAGCAUUGGUGUGUUGGUGCCUUUAACUAUAUAAUUAAAGGCACCAACACACCAAUGUUUUCAUUUGUGUUCACAAUAAGAUAUGAGUUAUUACCUAAUUGAUAUAUAUCUCAAUAAUCUCAUAUUUGAAGUAUUUUUUUGUGAGUCUCAGAAUACUGCUCACUAAGUUGUAUAUAAUGAAUUGUAGUCUUUGUAGACUUUUUACCCUUCUGGGUUUUGGCUUUUCUUUCAGGCAUGAUGCGUUUUUUGCUUGGUUUGGGUGGAGAAGGUCGUUUCAUUUUGCUUCUCUGGUGACCGCUUGAUUGGUGUGGAAAGACAGCUGAAAUAUUUGUGGAAUAGUACAUAGCUUAAUUGAAAUGUGUUUGAAUGUUGUCGUUGUGGGAUUUGUGGACUGCUUGCCACAUUUUUUUUCUUUUAUUCAUCUUUUUCUCAAUUUUUUGCCUCCCAAAUGAUUAGAGUUUGAAUGAUAAAAGAGCAUGUUGGACAACCUCUUUAAUUUUGAUGCAGAUUUGGAAAGAAACAAAAAUGGAAUACUUGAAUUAAGGGGGGAUUGGAGUUGAAAAAACAUGGG
rnacentral:lncRNA from 1 species